GUCUCCACUGGGCCACCUCUGUAUCAAGACUUCCCACACACAACCAACACACAUCUUUUCUACGCACUUUAUCCUCACUCAUGCGCACCCGGGAAUAACUUCCGGGUCGGUCACCCAUCCCAAUAUUGCUCCAGGCCAAGCACGCUUAACCUUAGAGUUCUCUUGAGAUAAGCUUCCGGAAAAGAAGUUGCAACUUGUUG
rnacentral:lncRNA from 1 species